rnacentral:rRNA from 1 species
GUCCUAGCAGUAAACGGUGCACGCUUGGUGUGCGCGGGUUCGACCCCGUGCGUGCCGGAGCUAACGCGUUAAGCGUGCCGCCUGGGAAGUACGGUCGCAAGAUUAAAACUCAAAGAAAUUGACGGGGACCCGCACAAGCGGUGGAGUAUGUGGCUUAAUUCGAUGCAACGCGAAGAACCUUACCUGGAUUUGACAUGCAUUGUGUCGCCAAUGAAAGUUGGCUAGGGUAGCAAUACCCGCUUUGCACAGGUGCUGCAUGGCUGUCGU